UACAGAGGUCUCAAGCGUUGUUCGGAUUCAUUGGGCGUAAAGGGUGCGUAGGCGGCGCGGUAAGUCGGGUGUGAAAUCUCGGAGCUUAACUCCGAAAACUGCAUUCGAUACUGCCGUGCUUGAGGACUGGAGAGGAGACUGGAAUUUACGGUGUAGCGGUGAAAUGCGUAGAUAUCAGGAGGAACACCAAUGGCGAAGGCAGCACUCUGGGACGUGACUGACGCUGAGACGCGAAAGCGUUGGG
rnacentral:rRNA from 1 species